rnacentral:rRNA from 1 species
GACGAACGCUGGCGGCGUGCCUAAUACAUGCAAGUCGAACGCAGUGGGGACGGGUGAGUAACACGUGGGUAACCUCCCAUCAGAGGGGAUAACCCUUGGAAACAGGUGCUCAACCGAUAUAGAUGGUUGGACCCGUGGUGCAUUAGCUAGUGGGUGAGGUAAAGGCUCACCAAGGCCACGAUGCAUAGCCGAGCUGAGAGGAUGAUCGGCCACACUGGGACUGAGACACGGCCCAGACUCCGACGGGAGGCAGCAGUAGGGAAUAUUCGGCAAUGGACGAAAGUCUGACCGAGCAACGCCGCGUGAGUGAAGAAGGUUUUCGGAUCGUAAAACUCUGUUGUUAGAGAAGCGGUAUCUAACGAGAAAGCCACGGCUAACUACGUGCCAGCAGCCGCGGUAAUUC